rnacentral:rRNA from 1 species
AUAGAUCAUAAAUGCUGGAAUGCUUUAUGAUUGAAAGGUUUCGACCGCCUUAGGAUGGAUCUGCGGCCUAUCAGGUUGUAGUGGGUGUAAUGUACCUACUAGCCUACGACGGGUACGGGUUGUGGAAGCAAGAGCCCGGAGAUGGAUUCUGAGACAUGAAUCCAGGCCCUACGGGGCGCAGCAGGCGCGAAAACUUUACAAUGCGGGAAACCGUGAUAAGGGAACACUGAGUGCUAGCAUUUAUGUUAGCUGUCCACAUGUGUAAAUAGCAUGUGAUAGCAAGGGCUGGGCAAGACCGGUGCCAGCCGCCGCGGUAACACCGGCAGCCCGAGUGGUGAUCACUAUUAUUGGGUCUAAAGGGCCCGUAGCCGGUUUAAUCAGUCUUCUGGGAAAUCUAAUCGCUUAACUAUUAGGCUUCCAGGGGAUACUGUUAGACUUGGGACCGGGAGAGGUAAGAGGUACUGCAGGGGUAGGAGUGAAAUCUUGUAAUCCCUGUGAGACCACCAGUGGCGAAGGCGUCUUACCAGAACGGGUCCGACGGUGAGGGACGAAAGCUGGGGGCACGAACCGGAUUAGAUACCCGGGUAGUCCCAGCUGUAAACGAUGCUCGUUAGG